GGCUCCGUGGUGUAUAGCACGCUAGAUUGCAAGUCUAGAAGUGUAGGAUAGGUGCCUGCCGGGGCUU
rnacentral:tRNA from 1 species